AAAGCCCACCGGGUCCGGCCGGUUGCAAGGGGGGAAAGUGGCAGAACAGCCGGGCGCCGGCAUGGUAUUGUUUUAAGGAUCACCACCAAGGUCUCUGCUUUCCAUAGCUGCCGAUGAUCACCAUCGCCCAAGCUUUCUUUCAAGGAAAGGAGGAAGGAAAUAUACUUCCCAAGCCUCUGUCCAGCCGGUCGUUUGACCCUGAAACCGCCGAUGACCGAGGAACCCCCUCCGCAACGUUAAACGCCUGUAAUUUCCCUCUGCUUCUCCCCCGGCAGCUCCGGCGCACCGCCACCGCGCGAUCUUAUCGCCGCGUGAUCAUUAUUCACCGGUGACAAGCGGAGAUGCGGAGCUCCUAAGUGAGGGUGACAGAUUUCAAACGCGGUGCUGCGGCGUGCUCAGCCUCAAGACAUGUUCUUCCUCAAACUUUGCCUAGCAAGCAAGUCGGCGUCUUAACCCUUUGCAUCCCUGCUUGUCACACGGGCACCGCUUACUUGCUGGGGGACACUUCAUUACGUGUCAUUUUCUGUUCUUGAAUUGAAGCAAAUCAGAACCGCCAACUCUGGGGAGCAGUUGGAGAGCUGAAUACUUCAGUGGUUAGAGACUGGAAAAAUCCUCCCCGCAAAGCAGUCCCUGGGGGACUCACCUGCAGACCCUUUGUCACCGGUUUUGGUAUGCAAAGCGUCACAUGCAUCGUAUGAAAUUCACACAGAACUGCAUUUUCCUCAGCUUGAUGUGGCUAAAAGUAUGUAUCUUGAAAGCGCCAUUUCACUCAGACCUUCAGCUCCAUCUCCUUUACAGGUUAUCAAUAACAGCAGAGCAAGCGAGAAGCGAGAAAGGAGCUUAUUUCUAUGGGGAAUAGGAAAAAAAGAAAAAAGAAAAAAAAAAGAAAAAGAAAACAAGCCUUUUUGACACAUGCACUUCGUAGUCAGAGGAAAUAUUUACCACUAGCAAACUUCAGCAUGCCAGAACAUGUUUCUUCCGAAGCAGAGGAGAGCCUUAAAAUGAGGAAAAACAACAAGAAGGAAAAAAAAAAAAAACAAAUAAAACAAACAAACAAAAAACCGCAUGUGCCAUUCAAAGCUGUAAUGAAGUGCAUGAAAGCUUUCCAAAGUCAGUGCCAUCAGCUCAGCGGAGCCUGAUGUCAAGACGACGUUGUAGCAUUGUAACAUGGAGACAUAGGGAGGAUACAAGGAAAUCUGCAAGAUCCAGAAAGCUAAAAUCAUUCUUUUA
rnacentral:lncRNA from 1 species